rnacentral:lncRNA from 1 species
CGGACAGUGGUCGCGGGAAAGGAAUGGAAUUGGUUGGGAAUUGGCUUUGGAUUUGAGGUGGGUCAUGAUCGUUGACUUGCUUAAACUUAUUCUCGAGUCCAAUGUUAUUUAAUUCUUGCUAAACUGCUUCAGACCGAACUCGACCAGAUAAAAUAAACAAGACUAAAAACAAGAUCGUGACCUAAUAAAAAAAGGGUUAAUCAAACAUUUUUCCUCAUACAAGAAUAAUUAUCUAAUCAGAACCAAAACCUAUUUAAUCAUAGCCUUAGCUUGAUUACAACUCCAUCAGGUUACUAAACCGGAUCAACACAAUCUCCUCCUUAUAUAUUUUCAUGAAAGAUUACAACCAGGAGAGAGACAAGUUCAGAGUCU